UACGGAGGGGGCUAGCGUUGUUCGGAAUUACUGGGCGUAAAGCGCGCGUAGGCGGACCUGCAAGUCGGGGGUGAAAGCCCCCGGCUCAACUGGGGAGGGUCACUCGAUACUGAUCGACUUGAAGGCAGGAGAGGGAAGCGGAAUUCCCGGUGUAGUGGUGAAAUGCGUAGAUAUCGGGAGGAACACCAGUGGCGAAGGCGGCUUCCUGGCCUGUUCUUGACGCUGAGGCGCGAAAGCUAGGGGAGCAAACGGG
rnacentral:rRNA from 1 species